GUCCUUUAGAAAAAAAUUAAAGGUCUAAUCUGCCCAAUGAUAUUUGAAUGGCCGCGGUAAUUUGACCGUGCAAAGGUAGCAUAAUUAUUAGUCUUUUAAUUGAAGGCUUGAAUGAAGGAUUGGAUGAAAAAUAAACUUUAUUAAUAAGAAUUAUUUAAUUUAUUGUUUAAGUAAAAAUUCUUAAAUAUAUAAGUGGGACGAGAAGACCCUAUAGAGUUUUAUAUUUAUUUUUAUUGUAAAGUUUUAGAACUAAUAUUUUCAUAAUAUAAAUAAAUUUUUUAUUGGGGUGAUAUUAAAAAUUUUUGAACUUUUAAUCAAAAUUUCAUUAAUAUAUGAGCUUUUGAUCCAAAAUAAUUUUUGAUUAUAAGAUUAAAUUACCUUAGGGAUAACAGCGUUAUUAAUUUGAAGAGUUCAAAUCGAUAAAUUAGUUUGCGACCUCGAUGUUGGAUUAAGAAUAAAUUUUGAAGAAGUAUUUAAAAUUGUAGGUCUGUUCGACCUUUAAAAUCUUACGUGAUCUGAG
rnacentral:rRNA from 1 species